UUGGAGGGCAAGUCUGGUGCCAGCAGCCGCGGUAAUUCCAGCUCCAAUAGCGUAUAUUAAAGUUGUUGCAGUUAAAAAGCUCGUAGUUGAAUUUCGGGAUUGACACAUCGGUCGUGCCUUAAGGGGUAUGAACUGGUGUAGUCAAUUUCUCACCUUCUGGAGAACCACGAUGCCCUUAAUUGGGUGUCGCGGGGAACCAGGACCUUUACUUUGAAAAAAUUAGAGUGUUUAAAGCAGGCAUUUUGCUUGAAUACAUUAGCAUGGAAUAAUAAAAUAGGACGGCAUGAUUCUAUUUUGUUGGUUUCUAGGAUCACCGUAAUGAUUAAUAGGGAUAGUUGGGGGCAUUAGUAUUCAAUUGUCAGAGGUGAAAUUCUUGGAUUUAUUGAAGACUAACUACUGCGAAAGCAUUUGCCAAGGAUGUUUUCAUUAAUCAAGAACGAAAGUUAGGGGAUCGAAGACGAUCAGAUACCGUCGUAGUCUUAACCAUAAACUAUGCCGACUAGGAAUCAGACGAUGUUAAUUUUUUAAUGACUCGUUUGGCACCUUACGGGAAACCAAAGUGUUUGGGUUC
rnacentral:rRNA from 1 species